UAAACAAAAGAAAAAUAAAGAAAACCUAGCUACAUUCGGUCAUAUAAAAGCUUGAUUGAGGUUAGUUCUUUGUUCGGUUUUUAAUAAUUUUUACGUUUUUGAGAUCGUUGCUUUGUGUUCUUCAAAACCCAUGUUUUAAUUUUGUGAAUUGUUGAUGAUUUUGAAAUGUGCCAUUGAUGAAUGCUUUGACUUUGUGAUAGUUGAUGAUGAAAAAUGAAAGAUAUGUGAUAGAUUAAUAUGUUUUGUAUUGGAAUUUUUAGUGAAAUUGAGUAAAUAGGGCUAAAUUGUGAAAUUAAAUUUUUGGGGACUAAAAUGUGAAAUAAAUGCAAUGUGUGGACUUGUAUGAGAACCAUGAAUAUUCGGCCCUUGUGUGGUAUGGGCAAAUUUUGUAUAAAUUGUGUUUUAUGCAAUAGGGAGUAAAUUGCAAAAAGUGUAAAUAUUAGGGGCAAAAUAGUAAUUUUCCAAAUUAUGUGUUUUUGGACUAAAUUGAAUGUGUUAAUAAAUAAAUUAUCUUAUUUUGAAUAUAUUUAGAUCGAGAACCAAAGAAAUCGGAGUUUGAUCGGAGAAAAGCCAAAUUAGUCGAAUAAUCGUCCGACUUCGAUUUUCCAUCGUCUGAGGUAAGUCUACUAGUUAUUUAACGUAUUUAAAUCAGUAUAUAUGUAUGUAUAUCUAUUUUAUUUUUGUUGAUCUAUAAUUAAAAAUAGUUUGAUUGAAUAAGUUUGAAAUAUAAAUGGUAUAUAUGUAUAUACCAUAUUCGAAUAUAUGAAUAUAUGCCUAUAUAAGUCUUUGAAUUAAUUGUAAGUACGAAUGGUAUAUAGAAAAAUAUAUAUACAUUGUUUGAAUAUUAAACAUGUAUCAAUAUGUUUAUGUUAUUGAAAAUAUUUGAUGAUAUGAGGAUUAUAAAUGUAAACACAAAAUUCGAAUAUAUAUGUACAUUCAUGUAUAAUCUUUGAGUUUGAUUAAAAGUAUGUAUAUUGCAUUUGCAUAGAUAAUUUCGAAUAAGAGUAUAUAUAUAUAUGUGUGUGUGAGUUGAAACAUAUACGUAUAUAUGUUUGAAUAGGUUUUGAACAUAUUUCAAGGUGUGAAUGUUAAAUAUAUAUGGGUAGUACUGCAUAUGUACGGAUAUACAUGUAAAAGUUAUUUUCGAAUAGAUGGAUAUAUAUAUAUAAAUAUAUAUAUGUUAAGUUCUUGUAUUGAAUUUAGUUAAGUAAUAAUAUAUAAAUAUAUAUGUGUGUUUAUAAAUUUAUAAGUGUUUGAAUUGAAUUGAAGACAUGAUUUAUAAACUUUUAAUUGAUUGGACAUGAACUACAAUGAACAUGCGUUUGUUAUAAAGAAUUAUUUGAGGAAAUAUUUUGUAUAUGUGAAAUUGAAAUUUGUGAUCUGAAUCAGGUUAUAAGCCUAGCAGGCUAAGUGCCGGUGAUCUGAAUCAGGCUAUAAGCCUAGCAAGCUAAGUGCCGGUGAUCUGAAUCAAAGGAACGAAGUUAUUAGCUUAGAUUAUUUUAAUAUGUUCGAAUGUGAAAUAUAUAUUAUUUAAGUAUAAUGGAAGUUAAAUAUUAUGAUGGUAGUAGUUGAAUCUAUAAUAUAAAGGUAUAUAUAUAAAUGUAUUCGGUUGAAUCAUUGAAUUAUCAAGUUUGGAAUUGGUGAUCUGAAUCAGGCUAUAAGCCUAGCAAGCUAAGUGCCGGUGAUCUGAAUCAGUGAUCUGAAUCAGGCUAUAAGCCUAGCAGGCUAAGUGCCGGUGAUCUGAAUCAGGCUAUAAGCCUAGUAGGCUAAAUGCCGGUGAUAUGAAUCAGGUUAUAAACCUAGCAGGCUAAGUGCCGGUGAUCUGAAUAUGUUAAAUUAAGUGAAUAUAUGCAUUUGAUAUAUAUAUAAAUAUAUAAAUGAUUUUGGUUUAUUUUAACUUAAUGAUGGAAUAAGUAUAAGUAUAUAUAUAUAUGAAUUUUUGCUCAUGAUUUACUAAGCUUAAAUAGCUUAACGUGUGUUGUAUUUGUUUACCUCUGUUUUAUAGAUUUUGAAGUCACGUUACGAGCUCGGGGAUCGUCAGCAUAGUCUAUCACACUAUUGACCGUCUUUGGUAUUUUAUAUAUUUUGUAUUCGAACCUAUGGCAUGUAUAGUCUAGUUAAUAUGUUUAAUUUUGGGAUAUGAGAAUACGAGCCAUGCGAAAAUGGCUUACUUUGUUUUGACCUAUUUUGGUGUCUAUGCAUAUAGUUUUAAAGGUCAUUAAAAUGGAGAUUUU
rnacentral:lncRNA from 1 species